GCCAACGAACAGUACAAGUGGAGCUCUUAGCCUUAAAAGUGUCUUCUUCUCCAUUUUUUUUCUGUCAAAAAACAAAAAAAAAGUUUCGAAAGUUUUGUGUUUGUGAGUAAAAAUGUUUAUUGAGAACUUUAAGGUUGAGAGCCCCAAUGUUAAGUACACAGAGAGUGAGAUUCACUCUGUGUAUGAUUAUCAAACAACUGAGUUGGUUCAUGAGGAAAAAAAUGGGACAUUUCAAUGGACUGUUAAGCCAAAAACUGUCCAAUAUGAAUUCAAAACUGAUGUUCAUGUUCCAAAAUUAGGAGUUAUGCUUGUUGGAUGGGGUGGAAACAAUGGUUCAGCCUUGACUGGAGGUGUUAUUGCUAACAGAGAAGGAAUUUCAUGGGCUACCAAGGAUAAGGUGCAGCAAGCCAAUUACUUUGGUUCUCUUACACAGGCCUCUACUAUUCGAGUUGGGUCUUUCAAUGGAGAGGAGAUCUAUGCUCCCUUUAAGAGCAUACUUCCCAUGGUAACCUUUAUUUGUUUUGAAAUGGCAUUUUUUGGUGUUGGUUGUCACUUUUAUAUACUCUGUUUCAAUUUUGACAACACGGAGUCAAAGAAGCUAAAGAAUGAAUCUUGUGAUAUGAAAGAUGCAAAGUUGAAAUUAGAAGUUAAUAUAAAAGAAAAAGCAAUAUUUUUUGAAACGGAUUAAAGAAAUAUUGUUUUUUUUCNAAUCAAGGCUCACGUGCUAACAAUGUCAUCAAAGGAACCAAGAAAGAACAAAUUGAUCAAAUUAUUAAGGAUAUUAGGGAGUUUAAGGAGAACAACAAAGUGGACAAGGUGGUGGUCCUGUGGACUGCCAACACUGAAAGAUACAGCAGUGUGGCUGUUGGCCUUAAUGAUACCAUGGAAAACCUCUUUGCUUCUGUGGAUAGAAAUGAGGCUGAAAUAUCUCCUUCCACCUUGUAUGCUAUUGCUUGUAUUCUUGAAAAUGUACCCUUCAUCAAUGGAAGCCCACAAAAUACUUUUGUCCCAGGCCUCAUUGAUUUGGCCAUCAAGAGGAACACUUUGAUUGGUGGUGAUGACUUUAAGAGUGGUCAAACCAAGAUGAAGUCAGUGCUGGUUGAUUUCCUUGUUGGAGCUGGUAUUAAGCCAACAUCAAUCGUCAGCUACAACCAUUUGGGUAACAAUGAUGGAAUGAAUCUGUCUGCCCCUCAAACUUUCCGUUCAAAGGAGAUCUCGAAAAGCAACGUUGUCGAUGACAUGGUUUCUAGUAAUGCCAUCCUUUAUGAGCCUGGAGAGCAUCCUGACCAUGUUGUUGUGAUUAAGUAUGUACCAUAUGUGGGAGAUAGCAAGAGGGCAAUGGAUGAGUACACAUCAGAGAUUUUCAUGGGUGGAAGGAACACCAUUGUAUUGCACAAUACCUGUGAGGAUUCUCUUUUGGCUGCUCCAAUUAUCUUGGAUUUAGUCCUCCUGGCUGAACUCAGCACCCGCAUUCAGCUCAAAGCUGAAGGAGAGGGUAAGUUCCACUCCUUCCAUCCCGUGGCGACCAUCCUCAGUUAUCUUACCAAGGCUCCUCUGGUACCACCAGGUACACCAGUGGUGAAUGCCCUUUCAAAGCAGAGGGCAAUGCUCGAGAACAUAUUGAGGGCUUGUGUUGGACUGGCACCAGAGAACAACAUGAUCUUGGAAUACAAAUGAAAAACUCAUAAGAUGUGAAAGGACUCAAGAAGUUGUGUAGCAGAAGAACCAUGUUGUCUUUCUUUACUUUUAUUUUUGUAAUCUUUUUCUUAUCAUUAGUACUACUAAAUUAGCUAAAUUUCAGCCAACCCUUGGAGGUAUAGCUGUUGUUUGAUGAUGUGCUAAGUUGAAUGUCUUUAUGAUUUCUUUGUUGUCUUUUUGUAUUAGCCCUUUAUUUUCAAGAUGUAUUAUUAGUGUUGUCUUA